GAUGAACGCUGGCGGCGUGCUUAACACAUGCAAGUCGAACGAGAAGUGAAGACGGAAACCUUCGGGCGGAAGGCUUUAUUUCGAGUGGCGGACGGGUGAGUAACGCGUGGGUAACCUGCCUCAAACAGGGGGAUAACAGUUGGAAACGACUGUUAAUACCGCAUAAGACCACAGCACCGCAUGGUGCGGGGGUAAAAACUCCGGUGGUAUGAGAUGGACCCGCGUUCGAUUAGCCAGUUGGCGGGGUAACGGCCCACCAAAGCGACGAUCGAUAGCCGAUCUGAGAGGAUGACCGGCCACAUUGGGACUGAGACACGGCCCAAACUCCUACGGGAGGCAGCAGUGGGGAAUAUUGCACAAUGGGGGAAACACUGAUGCAGCGACGCCGCGUGAGUGAAGAAGUAUUUCGGUAUGUAAAGCCCUAUCAGCAGGGAAGAAAAUGACGGUACCUGAGUAAGAAGCCCCGGCUAACUACGUG
rnacentral:rRNA from 1 species